GUUUUCGCUUUCGCUUUUGCUUUUAAUAGCUUCUCCGAAGAGAAACAAAGCGGCGGCCACGACGGUCGACUGUCACGACGGGUGAUGGGCUCGGAGGUGAGGGGAGAGGAGAGCGGCCGCCUGAACCCCGGGCCCACAAGAGAGGUGGCAGCAUGCCCCGGGCCUCCUUGUGAUGUCAGGAGGCUGGACAGCCAAGAAAGAAGAAAAUGGACUCCCUCCUUCUGAAGACUUGCCUGGAAGCCAGCCCCGAGUGCUGGAGUGCACAGCGCCUCCAACGAGAACAGCUAAGAGGUGUGUCAAGUUGACAACCAACAUCGCUUCCACUUUGUGAAUGAAGAUGCUGAGGCCGCCAGUGGAGCCAGUAGCCUGGGUGAGGCCACACAGCUAGUUAAGCUAGUUAUGCAGAUCUGGUUGGUACCUAAUGCAGUAACUUCCUUUAAAUGCCUUCCCCGAGCCACACUGGACCCCCCUAGCAAGGACAGCUAAGCACUGAAGACCAGUGAGUGUGACCACAGGCUUUACCCUGGAGAGUCCUUAGCCAGGUCCUAUAGGUUCUGUCUGGCUGUCCUGAGGGCCUCAGUUUACAGGCGCUCAUCCAGAGACUGCUCAACCUUGGGCAGGUUCCCUAUCGGCGUGUCCUGCAGAGGCACUGUCCUUCUUGGCCUAUCCCAGGCUUUGAUUUUCCCAGAUGGACAGGCUCUUUUACUAAACCUCUACACUCCCAGUGCUCCCUGGGCCCUAGGACAGAGGAGAUCCACAGGAUCUUCUCCCUGGCCAUCCCAGGGAGGGUUCAUUUGAGAGGUAACAUGUUUGUCCUGUGAUUCUGACUCCAAUCAAGGUCUAGGUCCUGGUACAGCUGCAGCCUCCCUUCUAGAAGCUUCUGAGGAGUGUCAGUUUCCUGUUGCCGCUGUAAGAGAUGUCCUUGCACUUCGUGGCCUAGACUAGCACACAGUUACAAUUCUGAGGGGGCCAAGAGACAGAAGAGGUCCCGCAGGGCUAUCCUCAGGGUGUAUAGCAAACAUGGGCUCUAGGAAACAGCCUAUGGGCAAGGCAGCACACACCUGUAACCCCAGCACUCAAAAGACUGAGCCAGAAUGUUCUAAAGCCUAAGGCCAGUCUGGGCUAUAUAUAGAAGAAUGAGUUUCCUGCCUC